UACGAAGGGGGCUAGCGUUGCUCGGAAUCACUGGGCGUAAAGCGCACGUAGGCGGACUCUUAAGUCUGAUGUGAAAGCCCUGGGCUCAACCUGGGAAUGGCAUUGGAUACUGGCGAGCUAGAGUGCGGUAGAGGAUGGCGGAAUUCCCGGUGUAGCAGUGAAAUGCGUAGAGAUCGGGAGGAACAUCUGUGGCGAAGGCGGCCAUCUGGACCAGCACUGACACUGAGGCACGAAAGCGUGGGGAGCAAACAGG
rnacentral:rRNA from 1 species